rnacentral:rRNA from 1 species
UACGGGGGGGGCAAGCGUUUGUUCGGAAUUACUGGGCGUAAAGGGCUCGUAGGUGGCCAACUAAGUCAGACGUGAAAUCCCCCAGCUUAACUGGGGAACUGCGUCUGAUACUGGAAGGCUUGAGUUCGGGAGAGGGAUGUGGAAUUCCAGGUGUAGCGGUGAAAUGCGUAGAUAUCUGGAGGAACACCGGUGGCGAAGGCGGCAUCCUGGACCGAAACUGACACUGAGGCGCGAAAGCUAGGGGAGCAAACGGG